GUUUCAGGGCGAGGUGAAAAUCCUCACCGGCGGUAUAGUCCGCGAACGCAUUGCAGCUGUGAAACUUUCGGACAGGCAAUUGAAAUUCCGAAAAGCUGUGGUGCGCCGAUCAGGUGAAAUUCCUGAACCGACGGUUACAGUCCGGAUGGAAGAAA
rnacentral:ncRNA from 1 species